GGGGCCGAUUUUGGAUUUGACAGCAAGAGAAAUAGUUAAGUAAGCAUGUCGAGCGUUGUGAAUGGUCUCGUAAAACGCAAUUCACAAGCCUAUAAACGGCAAUAACAACUACGCGCUUGCAGCUUAAUUACAGAUGUAAUUAGGCCUAAUCUCGCAGAUAAGAUCUGCCUGACAAGCUGCCCAGCUAUGGUUACCUGUUCAGCGGCCAUAGUAAUUGGGUAUCGUUGGUCUGAACUAAGUGGUGUAGCGUCUUGAUGCACUGACGAAAAAUUUAAAGACUAAGGAUAAAUUGGGGUGUUUGUGCUCAGCUUUAUCUCUACAAUUAACCACAAACUAAGCAUGUAGAAAGUUUAAUUGUUCCUUGUUUGGACGAGGGUUCGAAACCCUCCGGCUCCACU
rnacentral:tmRNA from 1 species